CAAUAGCGUAUAUUAAAGUUGUUGCAGUUGGAACGCUCGUAGUCGGAUUUCGGGGCGGGCCGACCGGUCUGCCGAUGGGUAUGCACUGGCCGGCGCGUCCUUCCUCUCGGAGACCGUUCCUACUCUUAACUGAGUGGGAGCGGGAGACGGGACUUUUACUUUGAAAAAAUCAGAGUGUUUCAAGCAGGCAGCUCGCUCUUGCAUGGAUUAGCAUGGGAUAAUGAAAUAGGACUUUGGUGCUAUUUUGUUGGUUUCGAACACCGAAGUAAUGAUGAGAAGGGACAGUCAGGGGCACUCGUAUUCCGCCGAGAGAGGUGAAAUUCUCAGACCAGCGGAAGACGAACCACUGCGAAAGCAUUUGCCAGGGAUGUUUUCACUG
rnacentral:rRNA from 1 species